rnacentral:rRNA from 1 species
GUGCAGCAGGCGCGAAACCUCCGCAAUGCGGGAAACCGUGACGGGGUCACCCCGAGUGCCACCCGCUGAGGGUGGCUUUUCCCCGGUCUAAAGAGCCGGGGGAAUAAGCGGGGGGCAAGACUGGUGUCAGCCGCCGCGGUAAUACCAGCCCCGCGAGUGGUCGGGACGUUUAUUGGGCCUAAAGCGUCCGUAGCCGGCCCGGUAAUUCCCUCCUUAAAGCCCACGGCUCAACCGUGGGAACGGAGGGAUAAUGCCGGGCUAGGGGGCGGGAGAGGCCGGGGGUACUCCCGGGGUAGGGGCGAAAUCCUGUAAUCCCGGGAGGACCGCCAGUGGCGAAGGCGCCCGGCUGGAACGCGCCCGACGGUGAGGGACGAAAGCUGGGGGAGCAAAGGGGAUUAGAUACCCGGGUAGU